CGUAGAUUUGAAAAUUUUCAAAGCAAAUAUCUAAAGGGAAAGUAGGCUGUCAACCGUUUGAAGGUAUUAGACAUAUUUUUAAAAGAAAAAUAUACCUGGGCCUUCCCCAGCUGUCCAGCAGUCAGACUUCACCUUCCAGUGCAGACAGUGUGGAUUUCAUCGUCGGGGGUCUAAGAUUCCACAUGCCACAAGCCACUGCGGACGCCUUAUCACACAUCUAGCUCAGCGCAGUCCAGUGCAAAGAUAACAUCCAAAACGUAUGAUGCUUCAGAGCUUCCGGGCCCUGCCGAUUCCUGGCUGGAGGAACCACGGCCUCUUGGAGUUUCUCGUAAAUAAAAAAAGUCAGAAGAGCUGCUCCUUGUUUUUUAUCUCUUGCCAUGACUACAGCCCCUGGGCCAGUUUCCUCAUGCAAGAGGCUGUCUGACCCUAAGAGAAUCCCUUUGAAUCCCCUGCUGAUGAGACAUCCUCUAAUUUCAACUCGGACCGAAACCACAACAGCCAAACUGGAAAAGAGGGUUUGCUCUGUUUAAAAUCAGCAGAUACCCAAAAUGAGACAGGGAAUUUAUUCAUAUUAAAAAAAAAAAAAAAACUAUUUCA